AGUGCGAGCUCAGAGUUGCUGGGCAACCCUUGCUGACACAUCAGGUGAAGUGAAAAAGGGAACCGACUAGAAGCUUGAGCCGCGCUCAAAGAGCCCACUGUGCCGGGGCAUUGGCGAGGAGUGUGUUCACAGACUGGACGGGAUGACGGGAGUGUUUGUGCAAGGACAGUGAAGAGAGGGACUGAGAGAACACACUGACUGUUCUCAAGUGCAAUAUGCUACGUGAGAGUGUGUGAGGGAGAUUAUUUUUGGUUUGUUUUGAAGGAGGAGAUCGAACAGAUGGUGUGCGAGUGUGUAUUUGCAGGAAGUGCCCAGACUGCUGAUUGAACUACACCCGCCCCCAUACUACUGUACAUCUCAAUCUUUGCUGCUCGACAAGAGGAAGGUGAUGGGAAAUGGAGGAGAGUCGACCAAGAGUGAAGUCCCGACAAACCAAUAAAAAAAAAAAAAGGACGCAACAAGAAUGACAUACAAAGAAAUGGCAAAUCAAUAACGGGAGCUGAGGGGAGAGUGGAGGAGAAUCGUCCAUGUGGAGAGUGAGUCGAGGAGAAUUCCAUUACUCUAAAUGAGGAGUGGCGUUAGCAGAGGAAGCCUGACAUUUACCGAUGUCACUGUGACCAAGUGGGGCGAUGAAAGACGCAUCAAAACGGCAACAUGCUACAUUUUAUAAAGCAUAUGAUCAUAAUCUGGUGAAGCACUCUGAGGCCUGAGAUGAAGAAGAUGCAGCUAAUCUCAAUUAUCGUCCUCAGAACAAAUUGUUCAAUAUUGGCAAAGAGAUUAUAGUGAAACUAAUCAACUCGCACCAGACUGGCUUCACAUCAGGUUCCCAGGAGGGAAAACAACAUUAGAGGAGCUCUAAAAAGGUUCAGUAUUUGUCAAAAUACUGACAAAUUUAGAAGCUUUUCUGUCACGAUUUAGAGAAAUAAAUAAAACAGGUGGAAGGAGGAGGGGUGAGUGUGUUGCGGACUGCGUUGUUGACACUUACAUUGCUGGUUUGAAGGUGCAAUUUCUUCAUUCUCUGCAUCUCUGGCGUGUCUGCGACCACGCUGAAACCUUUCCCUUUAUUCUUCUCAAAAUCCUCCCUGUAGCGAACCUGCAGAACAAACACGAGUCGGGUUAGAAACAAAACAAGGGGUUAGAAAUAUG